UGGGGAAUUUUGGACAAUGGGCGAAAGCCUGAUCCAGCAAUGCCGCGUGUGUGAAGAAGGCCUUCGGGUUGUAAAGCACUUUUGUCCGGAAAGAAAUCCUUGGCUCUAAUACAGUCGGGGGAUGACGGUACCGGAAGAAUAAGCACCGGCUAACUACGUGCCAGCAGCCGCGGUAAUACGUAGGGUGCAAGCGUUAAUCGGAAUUGCUGGGCGUAAAGCGUGCGCAGGCGGUUUGCUAAGACCGAUGUGAAAUCCCCGGGCUCAACCUGGGAACUGCAUUGGUGACUGGCAGGCUAGAGUAUGGCAGAGGGGGGUAGAAUUCCACGUGUAGCAGUGAAAUGCGUAGAGAUGUGGAGGAAUACCGAUGGCGAAGGCAGCCCCCUGGGCCAAUACUGACGCUCAUGCACGAAAAGCGUGGGGAGCAAAACAGGAUUAGAUACCCUGGUAGUCCACGCCCUAAAACGAUGUCAACUAGUUGUUGGGGAUUCAUUUCCUUAGUAACGUAGCUAACGCGUGAAGUUGACCGCCUGGGGAGUACGGUCGCAAGAUU
rnacentral:rRNA from 1 species